AAGUCGAACGGGGUCCAGCCGGUGGCAACACCGGGGAAGACCUAGUGGCGAACGGGUGAGUAACACGUGAGCAACCUGCCCCGAAGACCGGGAUAACAACGGGAAACCGAUGCUAAUACCGGAUGCCCCCACCUCGUCGCAUGGCGAGAUGAGGAAAGGUCAGCCGCUUCGGGAGGGGCUCGCGGCCUAUCAGCUUGUUGGUGGGGUAACGGCCUACCAAGGCAACGACGGGUAGCUGGUCUGAGAGGACGAUCAGCCACACUGGGACUGAGACACGGCCCAGACUCCUACGGGAGGCAGCAGUGGGGAAUCUUGCGCAAUGGGCGAAAGCCUGACGCAGCAACGCCGCGUGGGGGAUGAAGGCCUUCGGGUUGUAAACCCCUUUCAGCAGGGACGAA
rnacentral:rRNA from 1 species